UUGGUUUUCAGCACAUUGUGUCCUUUGAAAAGCCCUAGCCAGGGUUUUGCAGAACAAGCCACAUUCUGGAUUUGUCUGGCCAUUUUCUGCCAGUUAGAUUCAGGUUAAACAUUUCUUUUGCAAGAACACAGUUCCCUCCCACAGCAUCACACCAGGAAUGUUAUUGGUUUCCUUUUUUUAAGAACCUCUUAAUGCCUGCUCUUCCCUGUCCCACCAGCACAACAGCAGCAAUGACCACGAAACCCACAACACAGCACCCAUUUAGAAGAUGAGAGAAGAUGGUUCUUCGUGGGCAAUCCCAAUAGAAUUGAGAAGAUUUUGAAAAGGCUGAGUCAGCCCAACCACCACUGAAGCCAGUUACCAGCCUGUGUGAUCACGUGAUGUGUGACUACAUCUUGGCCUGUGAUAAACGAUCGUGUCUCUUGACCCACAGGAGUUUGUAACAUUCUUUUAGUGUAUACUGAGUCAUUACUAUUGCACUGAACCAAAGUAAAUGAAUGUCUACUGCCAUUGUCAUAGAAAAAGAGGAAAGAAGGAAGGAAGGAAGGAAGGUCCCAGCCUGUCUCUUCCUAUCUGGAAGCUUCCUUGCAUCCCAGCCUCACCAACCAAGUCUCUGAGUCCCCGUUGAGAAGCCUCAUUUGGUAGUCAUGACUGCAUACAUUUAUGAAGUGCAAGGUAACUGAAGACAAAAAGGGGACGUGCCUGGCCUGGGGUCACCCAGCUGGUAAAUGUCAUGGCUGAGACUCAAACCCAGAUAAAGUGUAGCCAAAAGACAAACAAACCUGCUUAACUGAAGAUGAUCAGUUAGGAUACAGGGAGGUGUUUUAAACAAAUGGCAGACAAAUUGAGAAAUCUGUACUUCAAGUCCAACUCAUCCUGAGAAAUGCCAGAAUUUUAGCAACAAAACAAACCCGCAAGUCUUCUUCGUUCUUGAGAGUCAUGCCGUUUUCCACCAAACAAGGACGAAAGGCUCUUUGCUUGUGGAGUGUCUCAGUCUAGCAGUAGAUUGGAAAAAUGUCCAAGCAGGGGACUCGAGUUCUCUCCCGGAUGAGUUCAUUUCAAUAGUCACUGUGUUUCAUCGGAUGCAGCUGGUUACAUUUUUAAUAGGCAGAUGGCUAAUUUUACAGUUCCAAGCCAAUCUCUCAUUGGACAACAUCCAGAAAGCCCGUGGUAGGGUGAUGCCCAGCAGAAAGUUCAACAGGACACUUGGGGGGAACAUAUGCUAAUGUCAGCCCUUUUACUUAAAUGUCUUUAAAAAGAAUAUUCAGUGCUAAGCUGAGGGAUUUUCACAGACUCAAGCCUAACACCAGAUGGGUGGCCAGCUAUGAAGUCCUUAGGGCCUGAGCAAAUGCUCUUAAUCUGGCUUGGAUGGUCGGAGAAUCAAAUAGCACCAAACCGGUAAUCUCUGAGUGAUUUUUAAAAAUGACAAAGGUGUAUGCACUUGCAGAAAUGACCAGGCUAACUAGAGAAGCGAGUUUCUCUUAAUAGAAGCCCAUGGCGUUACUAAAGCCCUGUGGUCCUAUGAUUACCUCGGCAUCCCGACCUCCGUUUUGGGUGCCCCUCCCCAUCUGACCUUUAUGGAGUUACACGAAUGAAUGUCCGUUUACCUCCCCCCAGGUGACAGCCCCUCGCCUCCAGGGUCAGAGAGGGCGGAAUGUCUGUUGCAGUUAAGCAUCCUUAUUUUUAAACUGUUUGGAAAUCUCUCUCUCCAAGGAGAUGGCUAUUUAGACAUCUUAAUUAAAAGGGAAUUUGGAAAUAUCUCCCGUUUUGCAGCGCAUGUAAUCAAGCAUUUCUUUUUCUCUGCAGAAGGACUUUGGUUGCCUCUUCACAAAAGGCUUUGAAAUGUCCUAAAACAAUCCCCCGCAGCUCGGGGUGGGGGUAGGGGCGGGAGAGAGAGAGAGAGAGAGAGAGAGAGAGAGAGAGAGAAAAAAAAAAAAAACCAAAGCAAAAAACAACAAACAUUUUCUGGGAGGUGAUAAAAGUCUUGGAUGCAAAGUAUCCUUAUUUUAUCCCAUGUGAUGAAUUGCCAUAGGGUGGCUGGAAAACUCUUUAAGAACCCCAAGGGCAAAUGCCGUUGUUUAAAUGAGGCAAAUGUUGUUUACCUCUAAGCAAAAUAAAAGCUAAGGAUCAGAAGAAAGAGGGGAUCAAAAGAUCUUUCUCCAAACAGAUUUAUAAAAGAGAGUGAUUUUUAAAUGAUUUCAACUCCUACUUUAUAAAAAUAUUUUAUGAGGCACUUUUCUGAAAAUAACAUGCUUCUGAAGAGUUUUCCUCCCCAAAUCGCUUCCUGAAAAUGGUGGCAUUACUUUCAUGCAGUACAAUUGCCUACACAAGACCUUAUUUAAAACAAUGCAAAAGAAAUUUGACAAAGCUAGUAACUCUGCACAAGGAAACUGGGCUUUUUUUUUUUUUGCCGGGAAAAUAACCUUCAAACCUCAAACUAAAUCUGAAACUGCUUCUAUCAAAUUUUUCUUUCAAGAACCUGGAAAGCGGUUCAUUUUGUUUUUUCGAGCAGAUUGUGAAAAGAGUUUUCUUGCAGAGUUUUUGUUUUAUAAUCAAAAUAAUUCGAGGGAAGUGACAGGACUUUUCCUUUGAGAUUUUUUUUUUUUUUCUGGACAAAAUCUAAUAGAGGGAGAGAGAGAAAAAAAUCUAACCAAAUCCAAGACUUGCAGACAAAAGUUACACACAAUCAGAAAACCCUCAAAGAUAGGUAUAAAUUAUUCUGUCACUAAAUUAAAGUAUUGGUAGAAGAAAAGUCUUAAAAAUGUAAAAUGAGUACUAGCCAAAUACCUUCACAGUUAAUGGAAUUAUGGAAACUUCUCUCUGGUGUGAAUACCCCCAAACACAUUUUAGAUUUAUUUUUAAAGUGUAGUUUAAAGAAACUUUAUACGAUUAAAAAAAAAAAAAAAACUUUGAAAGGAAAAGAGCCAAAAGAAAAGCAGAAAUUAGGGCAGUUUUUAAACUACAAGCCAACUGUUUGCUCUACUUUGCUUUAUUUAUUAGUUCUCAAGGUAUUUAAAACUUGAGCAUUAAAACUGCAGAAUAAUUUGCAAAUGAAUGCAGUUGCAGUUGUGAAAAUAUAACUCACAGCUGAAUGUGGGUUAUUCAGACAAAUGGCUGCUUUGUUCGAGGAGGGGAAGUAAAGUUCUGUGUUAAUUUAUUACAAACUGCAGCAUUUCAUCCCUGAUGUCCAGGCAACAAUGUUUUUUAUUUCAAGUAAUUUAUAAGCACUUCCCAGAGCACUUAGCCGUGAUGUCCUUGGCUGUUUUGCUCCCAGAGACGGAGUGUAUAUGUAUUUACUGUGGGAAUUUGUUUUUAAUAAAACUGUUGUAAGGCA